UGUGAUUUUAACAUGAUUACUGUUAAUGUUUUAAGUUUCAUAAAUAAAUUAUUUUCAAUAAAUUUUUAGUUAUUUAACAUAUUAAAUGAAAUUCGGGGAAGGGGUCAUUUGAGACACAACAAUUGGGGUCGAAUGAGCCAUGUGUAGUCAUGUUCAAAUGACUUCUAAUAUUUAGUCACGUUAAGAAAAAUAAUAAAAAGUUUAAUAAGAAGAAAAAAAAUGUAAAGAAAACAAAACUUCCGUCAGACACCAAAGAGGAUGAUUAUUUUUGUCUAGUGUGCGCUGAGUCCUAUUCAAUCAGUCUCCCAGGAGAAGAGUGGGUACAAUGCACUAGUUGCCGAGAUUGGGCUCAUGAUAAGUGAACUUCUGGUGUCAGUGCAUUUUAUGUUUGCAUGAACUGUGACAGUAACUAAGCUAUUUAAGUGUUUUUUUUCAAUACGAAAUUUAUUUAAGUUUGUUUUUGUUUCUAUGUUUCAUAUAUUUUAAUAUGACAAGUUAGUAUAACCCAAUGGCUCUAGUGACCCCAUUGUAUGGUUCAAAAGAUCCGGCCUGUGGGGUCUUAUGAGCCAUAUGACUGUUUUCAUUAUAAGGUAAAUUUAGUAUAGUAAACAACGGAUUUGUUAAAGUUUUUUGAUCUCAAUAUGUAGUCCAAUACAUAAACGACUGAUUUAAAAUUAA